CCAUUCGACCUGAGUUUAGGCAGGGUUA
rnacentral:rRNA from 1 species